ensembl:lncRNA
CUUUCAACAAUCAAUCUGAGACCUCAUUAACUGUCAUCAGAUACCAGAGAGAAGAAAAAGCCCUAGAAACUGAAGUAAUGUCCAAAAAAUACAGAAGAGUCCGAUCAUUAAAAGAAGGAAAAGCAAUUCAGUGAAGAAGAUGAUGGACUCAGUUUCGGACAUGCUGAGUCUGAGGUAACAGCAGCACUGAUACAUAUGGAAGAGAGAAGAAGCUGUCACUAGAGGAGGACAGUCCCAAAGCUGUUAGGUUUUAUGUAUACUACUCCAUAAGCCGUGGUCUGUUGUCUCUCAGGAAAUCCACUCAUCAGGGUUUCCCAUAUUGUCACUGAUAAUCAUCUUUGGAAAUAGGUGAGAAUAUACUAGAUUAAAAUUUUAACAUGUGUGUGUA